ACCCCAUCAAUUAUGUUGUUUGUAGUUUCAGACUUAAGGGAAUGGUAAAUGUCAGAUUAAAAAUCGAUUAUCUCUAAAUAGAAAAUGGCCGAAAGUGCCGAAGAAAAUGAUGUUAUGGUUGUCAGUGUUUCUGGUACUUCAACAACAGUUUUAAGUGCGGCAUUUGGUUUCACAGAAAAUAUACGAUGGGACCCAACAAUGAGUGUAGACUGGGGCAAAGAAACCCCAUCUCCACAAUGUUUGAUGCGAAUUAAACGGUAAAUUAUGACUAUAUACAA